UCCAUGGUGGCUCAGAUGGUAGCGUCUGCCUGCAGUGCAGGAGACCCAGGUUCAAUCCCUGGGUCAGGAA
rnacentral:tRNA from 1 species